ACGGGAGGCAGCAGUGGGGGAUAUUGCACAAUGGGGGGAAACCCUGAUGCAGCGACGCCGCGUGAGUGAAGAAGUAUUUCGGUAUGUAAAGCUCUAUCAGCAGGGAAGAUAAUGACGGUACCUGACUAAGAAGCACCGGCUAAAUACGUGCCAGCAGCCGCGGUAAUACGUAUGGUGCAAGCGUUAUCCGGAUUUACUGGGUGUAAAGGGUGCGUAGGUGGCAAGGCAAGUCUGAAGUGAAAGCUCGGGGCUCAACCCCGGAACUGCUUUGGAAACUGUUUAGCUAGAGUACAGGAGAGGUAAGUGGAAUUCCUAGUGUAGCGGUGAAAUGCGUAGAUAUUAGGAGGAACACCAGUGGCGAAGGCGACUUACUGGACUGCUACUGACACUGAGGCACGAAAGCGUGGGGAGCAAACAGGAUUAGAUACCCUGGUA
rnacentral:rRNA from 1 species